UACGUAGGGUGCAAGCGUUAAUCGGAAUUACUGGGCGUAAAGCGUGCGCAGGCGGUUUUGUAAGUCCGCCGUCAAAUCCCAGGGCUCAACUCUGGACAGGCGGUGGGAAACUACCAAGCUUGAGUACGGUAGGGGCAGGAGGGAAUUUCCGGUGGAGCGGUGAAAUGCGUAGAGAUCGGAAAGAACACCAACGGCGAAAGCACUCUGCUGGGCCGACACUGACACUGAGAGACGAAAGCUAGGGGAGCGAAUGGGAUUAGAACCUACCGACGAG
rnacentral:rRNA from 1 species